CCCUAACUGACUGAAUAACUUAAAAACUUAUUCUUGGAUUAAAAUAAAUAAAAUUCCAAAUAAAAUACAGUAACAAACAAGAGCAUAGCUUUAUUUUUAUUUUUUUUGUACGGCAAGAGCAUUGCUUUAUAACCUUAUUACAAACAACUAAACAAGCCUUGACAUAUAUUUUCACCAAAAAAAACAAGCCUUACCAUAUAUAAUUAAAAAAAAAAAGAAAAAAAUGCAAAGGAAUUUCUCGUAUCUUCCGCCAUUAUUUCUCCAAAAAGAACAAAACAACCCACCAAAUCCUCCAAAUAUAUCUUCAAUUUCAACAAUUAAAAAAAAAAAAGAAAAAAUCACUUAUCAUGAUUAUCUUCAUGAUAAUUUUGGCAGAAUUUCGUUUCAAAAUCGGGAAACUUGCGAAACUAAACUAGCCCCAAAAAACUGAGAGGGAAUUACUUUGAUUUCAUCUGUUAUUCCCUCCCCGAUUUUGUGAAAUACUCCGUAUGUGGUGAUUUAUCCCUUGUCUAUCUUUCUUUAUCAAAUUUUCCUCCCGUAAUUUUACCCUAAGCAAUUUCAAAAAACAAUCUUACUGAACUCUAGACGAGCGAAGGGAGACGAAUUAAAAUAGCGUUUGGAGUUUGUGGCCGAUCGAAUUUGGAGUUUGAUUGGUCAGAGUACAUAUCACUAUCCAAGUGCUGAUAUGUCUAGAUCGGGUGGAAAAGCACAUUCAAAGUAUGAUUACAUAAGCCAAAAUGAGUAUGAACAACAAAGUCUCAAGACAAUUGAAACUAACAAGAUUAGAAUGAAGACAUUGGGCAUAAAGCGCAUUACUGCCUGUUUGACAAGCUUAGUAAGUAGUUCUAAAGUUAAGAAAAGUAAGCAGAAGUACAAUGUUUCCCUUGAGAAAGAUGGUGAUUAUGUACCCGAGGAAAAUGAGGAAGUUGAGUUCGAGCAAGAAACUCACAAUGUGACUUCAAAUAAAAAGAGAUUAUACAAUGAAGAUGGCUAGAGAUCGUAUUGGAAGAAAUUGAAGAAAAUAAUGUCUUUUUUUCAAGCUUAGAGUUUUAAUGAAAACUCUUUAUUAUUUCACUUUAUAUCAAAUGAUUAUAACAAGUCAUGUAAUUGUAUUGAAGCUAGCUAAGUUAUUUAGUAAUAACUUAAUUACAUUUUUUAGAUCAAUAAUGUAAUGACUAUUCUAUUAUAAAUAA